CAGGGAUUGCCUCAGUAACGGCGAGUGAAGCGGCAACAGCUCAAAUUUGAAAUCUGGCCUCGGCCCGAGUUGUAAUUUGCAGAGGAUGCUUUUGGCGAGGCGCCUUCCGAGUUCCCUGGAACGGGACGCCAGAGAGGGUGAGAGCCCCGUAUGGUUGGACGCCGAGCCUCUGUAAAGCUCCUUCGACGAGUCGAGUAGUUUGGGAAUGCUGCUCAAAAUGGGAGGUAAAUUUCUUCUAAAGCUAAAUACAGGCCAAAGACCGAUAGCGCACAAGUAGAGUGAUCGAAAGAUGAAAAGCACUUUGAAAAGAGGGUUAAACAGUACGUGAAAUUGUUGAAAGGGAAGCGCUCAUGACCAGACUUGUGCCCUGUGGAUAAGCCAGCGUUCUCGCUGGUGUUUCCGCUCGGCUCAGGCCAGCAUCGGUUCUCUUGGGGGGACAAAAGCCCUGGGAACGUGGCUCCUCCGGGAGUGUUAUAGCCCACCGCACAAUAUCCCCAGGGGGACCGAGGACCGCGCUUCGGCAAGGAUGCUGGCGUAAUGGUCAUCAGCGACCCGUCUUGAAACACGGACCAAGGAGUCAAGCAUUAGGGCGAGUGUUUGGGUGUAAAACCCGCACGCGUAAUGAAAGUGAAUGCAGGUGAGAGCUUCGGCGCAUCAUCGACCGAUCCUGAUGUACUCGGAUGGAUUUGAGUAAGAGCCUUACCGCUUGGACCCGAAAGUUGAUGAACUAUGCCUGUAUAGGGUGAAGCCAGAGGAAACUCUGGUGGAGGCUCGCAGCGGUUCUGACGUGCAAAUCGAUCGUCAAAUAUAGGCAUGGGGGCGAAAGACUAAUCGAAUCAACUAGUAGCUGGUUACCGCCGAAGUUUCCCUCAGGAUAGC
rnacentral:rRNA from 1 species